rnacentral:rRNA from 1 species
AGAACGAACGCUGGCGGCAUGCCUAACACAUGCAAGUCGAACGGAAAGGCCCGCUUGCGGGUACUCGAGUGGCGAACGGGUGAGUAACACGUGGGCAACCUGCCCUCAGCUCUGGGAUAACUCCGGGAAACCGGUGCUAAUACUGGAUAUCGACUUCUGCUCGCAUGGGUGGUUGUUGAAAGUUUUUCGGCUGGGGAUGGGCCCGCGGCCUAUCAGCUUGUUGGUGGGGUGAUGGCCUACCAAGGCGACGACGGGUA